GACGAACGCUGGCGGCGUGCCUAAUACAUGCAAGUCGAGCGGACGGAUGGGAGCUUGCUCCCAGACCGUCAGCGGCGGACGGGUGAGUAACACGUGGGCAACCUGCCUGUAAGACUGGGAUAACUCCGGGAAACCGGGGCUAAUACCGGAUAACUCUUUCCCUCACAUGAGGGAAAGCUGAAAGAUGGCAUCUCGCUAUCACUUACAGAUGGGCCCGCGGCGCAUUAGCUAGUUGGUGAGGUAACGGCUCACCAAGGCGACGAUGCGUAGCCGACCUGAGAGGGUGAUCGGCCACACUGGGACUGAGACACGGCCCAGACUCCUACGGGAGGCAGCAGUAGGGAAUCUUCCGCAAUGGACGAAAGUCUGACGGAGCAACGCCGCGUGAGUGAUGAAGGUUUUCGGAUCGUAAAACUCUGUUGUCAGGGAAGAACAAGUACCGGAGUAACUGCCGGUACCUUGACGGUACCUGACCAGAAAGCCACGGCUAACUACAUG
rnacentral:rRNA from 1 species